rnacentral:lncRNA from 1 species
CUGUUCCGCAAAAUAGACAUGGACGAGAGCUGCACCCUGUCUCGAUCGGAGCUGCACGCACUCAUUGUCGGGAUUAACUUCGAGGAGCUUGACUUUGACAAGAUGGAUGCGGUCAACAAGGUCAUGGAUGACUUUGACACGUCCCGCAACGACGUCGUGGAGGAGGAAGAGUUCGUGCAGGGGAUGAAGAAGUGGCUCAACGAGGCCAAGCGCAGCGUGCCAGCGGGCGGCGCCUUCUCCCACAAGUUUAUCAACGACUUCCACGAGGUAAUCUGCUCACCCUGGAGCCUCCAGUAGCUCAGGAAUUGUGCCCAGCAGAACACCUGACCUGACGGAUUGAGCGAAACUGUGCAGAGGACUAGGCAGGAGCACGACCAGCUGAUCGACAGGUCCGACGAAGCGGUGGAGAGCGUGGAGAACCCCGGGUGGUGCAUCACCAAGGCCGUGGCGCUCCUCCUCCUGGGCGCUGCCAUUGCUGCGGCGUUUGCUGACCCGCUCGUGGACACCGUCCACAACUUCUCCAACGCCACCCACAUCCCGUCCUUCUUCAUCUCGUUCAUCGCCCUCCCGCUGGCCACCAACUCCAGCGAGGCCGUCUCCGCCAUCAUCUUCGCCAGCAGGAAGAAGCAGCGGACCUGCUCCCUCACCUUCUCCGAGGUGCGUAUCGUUGCGUGCACCACUGACAGACACGGCGACUGCAUCCGAAGCUCCUUGCAUUGGCAACAAACACUGACGAUGGUGCUUUCAGGUGUACGGCGGCGUGACGAUGAACAACACGCUGUGCCUGGGCGUGUUCCUGGCGCUCAUCUACUUCCGGAACCUGACAUGGGACUUCUCGUCGGAGGUGCUCAUCAUCCUGGUCGUCUGCGUCGUCAUGGCCCUCUUCACCAGCUUCCGGACCACCUUCCCUCUCUGGACCUGCCUCGUCGCCUACGUGCUCUACCCUCUCUCGCUCGUCAUCGUCUACAUCCUCGACUACGUCUUCGGCUGGUCAUAGGCUCAUUGGCUCCCCAAGCGAACGCCUGUUUUUGGCGGCCACCAGUCGGUUUGAUCUUGUGAUUUUGACUGCUGCGGGAUGUGUGCAGACUCUGUUUCUCGUGUUGAUGUAAUCACGCUCUUCUUUCUAUCUUUCCUUGUGUAUCCAAACCACGUACUUCCGUCAAAUUCUAACAACCGCUGCAUUCUGCUCUUGAGCUCCACACUACAGUGCCGCUUUAAAUCAAUUAUGUAAAUGUGCCUCAGGUUCUAAAUCGCCAAGAUCGCAAACUGUCCGUAGAUUUAAGUAUUAGAAGUGUAAAAUGACAUCUGAUUGUUGAUCACAUUUUCUAAACCUUUUUCUUUAACGCCUGCCUUGCGUAGUGGUGGCAAUGCAUAUAGACACUUUCGGUGCUAUAGACUAUAGAAUGGUUCAUAUCGAGAUGAUUUCCACAAAAAUGAAUGUGUUAUUUUUACAUUAUGAUCAUAUUCAAAGGAAAACAUAGAAACUUUAGAACCGACGCUUGCUCAGGACGUCGAGCCUUGGUCACCCGACAUAUAGACUAUAGAUGCCAACGCCAAUGGUAAACUCGGUGGUAACUAAAUUGCACAGAAGUAUUUGCAGAAGCAAACUAUUUGGACUAAUUGCAUAUAGUAGGAAUAUGGAUAGACAGAAACGCACAUAAACUUCCCUAUGUUGUCAAUAAAACAAAGUUCAAUGUACAGUAAUGGAAAAAAAAGUCAGCUUCGUAAUGAGCAUUUCUUUUGCGAAUGCCCAAGAAGAUGACAACGACCACAUUGAACAAUCCGUUUUGGUCGUUUCAGGCUCUCUAUCUUAAGAAUCUUCAUCUUGGGACGACCAGGAGGCCUCCGGAUAUUUGGUGGGCUAAGCAUCACAUCUGCUCUGCUGACCACACCUUGUAACCCAGACGAUGAACUGUUCCAGUGGCUCCUGUCUGGUAUCGGAUAGAUUGGCUGGGAGUAGGUUUCCCGGUACUUCAUUACACUGAAGCAGUCAUGAGCAUAGAGGCGGGGAUCUUCACCACAUGAAAGCAGUGCAGCAGCAGCAUGUGCACACGGAAUGCCAUAAAUUUGCCAUCGACGGCAUGAGCAAAACCUAGCUUGAGUGUCCACAAUGUUUGUUCGCUCCGAUGACACAAUCUCAAACUCCACCUUGUUUGCUCGAAGGACUUGAUAACAUCGUGAGUCGGUGAUGGCUUCUGAAAUAAGUUUCUCAGCUGAUGGAACAAGAACUGAGUUGUAUGAUUGUGCCAAGUUCUGACGUUCAGCAAACCAGCAGGUCAGUUGGUGCCUGAUGUGCUCGAUGGUUUGCACAAUGGGAAGCUCAUGACAUUCAAGGGACAAGUUGUACAAUAUCUCAGUUAUUCCAAGACUAAAAUGGCCAUAUCGAAUACCCUCAAAGAAAGCAACUGCCCACAGAUUUGGUGGAAAACGUUGUAACCAUGGCAUGACAUCUUGAACUUGCAUCAUUUCAUUUACCUUUGCGUCAAAUUCUGCUGCCGUGAGGGUGUAAACAGCACUCCAAAAAAGGUUAAGAAGUUUAGGAUUCUUGAACUCAUCACGAAAAUUCUCACUCACAUAUCUCAAGCAAAAUCCGUGGAAAGCAGUAGGGAAGUUAUCUUCAACAGCUUUGACCACUUGGGGAUUCCUCUCAGAUAGUAUUGUCAAGAUGGGCAUCUUAUCUGUGUUAACUCCGAGCGUCUUCCUCAAUUCUGAUACAAACCACCUCCAGUUGUCAUCACUCUCAGAAUCAACAAUACCAAACGCUAGAGGGAACAUCAUGUGAUCAGCAUCAACAGCUGAAGCACAUAGCAACGUCCCAAGAUACUUCCCCUUUAGGUCAGCCUUGUCAAUUUCCAGAAGGGGCCUGCACCCAUUUAGGAAACCAUAAAUGGAUGCACGAAAUGAGACAAACAGCCGCUGGAAGGCAUUCCCUGGUCCAGUCCCUCUAUAUGUUGCAACACUACCAGGAUUUGUCUUACCAAUCUGCUCACAGUAUGCAGGAAGAAGGCGGUAUCCAUCCUCAAGUGUACCAUUGACGGCAGCCAUACUUCUCUCUUUUCCACGCCAUGCCUGCAUAUAAGAUACAGCAACCCCAUGCUGCUCCCGAAUAUCCUGCAAUAUCUCCUUUGGCUUAAUCUGUGGGUUAUCCCUUAACCUUGCCUCAACAGACCUAGCCACCCAACCAACAGUAGCCUGCUGAUGAUGCAGGUCCCGAACACCCUCACAUGUGUGCUCCCCGUGCAAAGUCCGAACAGUGAAAGUCGGAACACCAGGGCACUUAGCGAUGUGCACACGCCAUGGGCAACCUUCUUUUGAGCACUUGGCGAUGAAUCGGCUACGAUCAGAUUUCACAACACGGAGCUCAUAGUGCAAAGCAAUGGCCAUGUCUUUGACAGCCCUCCUGCACGUGUCAACAUCUGCAAACUCUUGACCAAUGACAAGGGUUUGCUCGCUAGGUAUAAGGUUCUGCUCUGGCUGAACUAAAAUCUGGUCGUCUUCCAUCAACAAGCAGACCCACUAACUGAAGAAUAUGUCUCCUUGUCCUUGAACCAUAGAAAACACCCAGAUAACUUGGUAGUAACAAAGGCGAAAUUUCCCUCUAGCUGCAAAGACCAACUGACCUGCACAGCAUUAUCACAAGCAAUUUGUCAUUAAUGUAAGAAAAGAAGAUUUCAUUCCAAACAGGCGUGUGUGGUUAUGGCUACUGAGAAUUCAUGCAGGGUACAAACUAUAUAGGUCUGCCUCUGCAGUUUGUUACUGCUCCCUCUGUUCUUAAAUAUAUGACACUUAGGACAAGCUAAUUAGUUCAAACCAAUUAUCUUGUCCUAAGUGUCAUAUAUUUAAAAACGGAGGUAGUAAAUCAGUUUAGGCCAUCGGCUUUAUGCCAUAGUGUACAAAUUGUAUGUAUAUUGCAACUCACUGCCCUGUUUUUUGGUGUUUUUAGCAUGUAACAUCAUCAGUUUCGUAAUGGAUUUGGGGGCAAAGCCUCCUGCAAUCAAAAGUAAAUAAAAAAAUUACAAUAAAACUCCAUCUACAGCCUAACCUCUUCAGGGACCCCUACGGUUGACAUGAGCUGUAAGCAACCUAGAAUACAAUGUUUUUUGCUUUUUCAUGCAAGUACAACAUUCUAUUCUCUAAACUUAGAAUGUGACUUCAAUAUUUCAUUAAAAAAGUGUGACUCAGAAGUUUGCUAUCCUUUGGUAAGUCAAAUGUAUGCCGAUGGUUUCUUUGGCUACACCAUCACAGUAGACAACUGGACAGUCAUUCCAUAUACUUACCAAAAUAGCCUAAGUUCAAUUAUAUUUGCAAUAGCGAACACCAUCAAUUUCAUGGUGACUGAAGCCACUUUGUCCAAUAUGGAGCCGGGAUUUUGUUAGGGUCAUCGGUCAUGUGGAUAAAGAAGAUUCUUCAGGGUAGUAAAAUGGACUUUCUCCUAAAUAAAAAAAGUGACUUCAAUAUAGUUUUCUAUCCUUUAGUAAGGUACAUUGUAUGCUGAUAUAUAUUUGGUUACACUGGCCAAGUAGACAUCUGGACAGGGCAUGCCAUCUUAUAAUAUAUUUACCAAAAUCAAUAGUGGACACCAUCAAUUUCCUGGUUGACUGAAGCCAGCAUAGCACAUGAUCACUGGUGCAAACACGAUGAUGUCCAGUGACCAUGGCUUGUUUCCCUCGAAGUUCCCAACUUUAGAAAAAAUAUAGCACAGAAAUGCUUCAGUACAAUUCAAUAGGACCCAGAGUUUCCAAUGUUCUGAUUUGCAGCACUCUAUCAAGUUUUCCAUUCAUUGCAGUUAUCUAUGGCCAAAAUGCCCUCAAGGCCAGUCCUUGGACUCCAUUCCUCCAAGGCAGACUAAAAUUGACCAUUUGCAUAUUAAUACAGACACUAUUUCACAUCAUCCUUACACAUAGCUCAUAUAAUUUGAGCACAAAAUCCAUAGCAAAAGAGACUAGACGCGAGACAACAUGCAAAUAUGGCAUGCAAGUGUAGUUUUAAUCAGUGACAAUUAGUCUAUUAACCUCCUCUUGAUGCCCCCUGGUGAAAAGUGUGAACUGGACAUGCUCCUAGUUGUAGGGCUUCUUGAUUUUGCCCCAAUUUUAGGGUUCAACAUCAAAUCCCGCAAAAUUGACAGGGUAAGUGAAGGAGAUUGCUUACCUCUUGUUGUCUGGGGUUCACAGACGAGGGAGGAGAGCGAGAAUGAGCAAGGCCGGCGCUGCGACCUGCUCCGCCGGGCGGGUGAGCGGGCGAUGCGGCUUGUGGCCGAGCGACGGGCGAGCGAGCGGUGGCCUGGCACAGGAAGAUCUCCGCUCCACGCUGGUCCAGAAGAGGACAGCAGGAUGAGGAACGAGUAGAGAGGACGAAUUCCUCCGAAGUGGAUGGAGUGCUUCGCUUCGGUGGAAGGAGGCGCGUCCGGCGGAGAGAGGCCGCCAGUGGACGGCGCGAUACUUCCUUCGAUACGGUCACCGCGAGGGCGGCGGAGGAAGUAGGAAGGCGGCGUCGGACGGUCGGUGGCGUUGCCGCGCCGCCGCGCCGGGAUGGGGAGGACGAUGGAUGUUGGAUGGGUCAGUUAGGGCUGGAUGGGAGUGGGCCGCGGAUGGAGGGGUGUUUUUGAUAUUCUGCCAUCGUUUUUUUUCUACUUUUUUUUUUCAUUUUCGAACCAUAGUACAGUACGCCUGUUGAUCUAUUGCCAUCUUCGUCAUCAUACAUAAAAGUUUCGAAACAAAGAUAUUUCUUCCUCCCAGGAUUUAAGAUGAGAAGAUCUCAAAUAAAAAAUAUUACUCUCUCUAUUCCAAAUUAUAAAUCAGACUUAUCUAAUUUCGAUAAAAUUUAUAGAAAAAGCACCACGUAUAUAACAUAAAAUUAGUUUAUUAAAUUCACAAUAUAAUAUAGCUUGAUAAUAUAUUUAUUUGGUAAAUAUAUAUUUCUUUAAAUUUGAUCAAAGUUAAAAUAUGUGAAUUAUUUUUGAAAUGGAGGGUGUACAAGUUGAAGUGUGAAGAAACAGUUAAGCUAGAUCCUUUUUUUCUCAACCCAACUAACGAUGUUGCCCAUAAUGUGGUAAGCUUUAGACCUAAAAGUGAAAAAUAGAGAGCAUAACCAGAAAAGAAAGUUUAGGAACAAUUAAGAGAGGUGAAGGUCAAUUCAAUCAAUAAUCUCAACCUAAUUUGCACGGUAGUCUGAUUGCGUCAUUGAAAAUUUAGCUUAUGCCUAAAUUUCUAAAAAAAUCUCAAUUAAAUUUUUUCCGGAAGCGUUAGUUUAAUUAGAUAUUUGAAUUGGAAGCUGGUGAACAAUAUGGACACCUUAAGGAUAUGGAUGGAAGAACUGUAGAAUCAAUGACUCUGACUCUGCGAGAUAACUGAUACUGGUAUCCACAAAUGUGUCAAAGAAAAACAAUAAUGCUUGCUAGAUCUAUAUACAGAAGAGACCCCACAGGCUAGCUGCAAGCUAGUAAUGCCCAUCCUGCACAUGCUCCUGUUCAACACAGCACCGUCUGCCCAUCUGAUCCUUUUUCUGUUGAAGCCUCUGCUACAUUGGGCACGAGCUUAUCGGGACCAUGUGGAAACGCUUCGUGCUUCGAUCAUGCACAGACACUCUGCUCUGCUUGAAACGACCAGAUGAUGGCUCAGAUAGAGGUAGCCUUUACCAGAUGUUUAUUUGAAGUGAAAACCAUCUUCAAAACGCAAAGUUCAUACAUCAUGUUUCAGCUUAAAAUCUGAACACACCACUACGAUUGAUUUUUUUUUCAACGAGGUGUUGUUCCCAUUGCAAGUUUGGUGCCAUGUUUAUCAGGAAGGAACAGGGAGGAGUCACAGUGAUGAGCUCUUUCAUAGCUUCAGUUCAAGAUCGACGCCGUCAGACACGUCGGCCUUGAUCUCGCUCAGGGGUCUCUCGCAUCGAACUGGACCGACCGGCAUGAAGCUGUAGAAUGGCCGCGACGACGAAGACGCUGAAACACUCCCUUGCUGUGAACAACAGGUCACCGGUUACUCGGCCGGGUUAGUUCAUCAGAAAUUUCACGGCAAGUCACAGGUUUCAGAAGAAGAUGGCUUGGCAAGAGAACUUCACUUGCCUGAGACUGCAUGACGCCGAAGUCGCUGUACUCCGGGAGGUGUAUCGAUGGGAUCACAUGAGGCUGCUUGAUGAGGGGCACAGGCUGAGCGUUCAAGGUGAGGUAGGCGGGCUCACCGGCGCAGCCGUUCUCCUUGCUGCUCUUGCAGUGAGCAAACUCUGAUGCCCAGUCUGAAUAACUCGCAUUUGUGCUGCAGCAAGAGAUUAAACUAAAAUCAGAUCAUGCGUGUUUAAUGUUUUUAGCACUGGGAUCAAUUGCAGGAAAAAAAUGCAUAGAAAGGAAUGUAAGAUCGUCAUAUUUCCUCCCCAUUUCUCUUCAUUAGCUUUUGACUUACUACUGAAUGUUGCGAGGAUAAUGCGAUAACUGAAAAAGGCCAAGCACCUAUGCACUGCUAUAUCUUGAUUCUUGGCAAUAAUUUGCUUUAUUCAGAAUCGAACUCAGAUGAAAUCACAAAUCCACAUUGAACAUGUGAAGUAGGCUUACAACAUUUACCUGAAAUAAUUCGUUGCUCUGAACUCGUAUCUGCUCAGGUCAGGACAGACAUCAGGCAAACCGGCCUCUCUCGUCAUCCUGGCGGGGAAAGGCGCCUUGCCCGGCGUCCGGAAUGCGGCCGCGUUCAUGCCCUCGAACAUGAAGGGCCAGGACCUAUCCACGCCGGCCGCGUCCUACACUCUGGCCAAAUCCACACUUAGCAGCAAUCCCAAGCACCAAAAUAUUUCUAUUGCACAGUAACAAUUCUGAAACCUCAAUUCCAUGAAAAAAGAAUCUGAAACCUCAACGAGACGCGUACCCUGUCCUCCUCGGCCGGCGCCGCCGCGCUGCUCCUGCUAACGUUGCUGCUGUACAUUUGGUUUGAAGGGGGCUCCGUUGGGUGGCUCGACAACGCCGUCAGCGACAAGCCCGUGCUCACCUACACAAAGAAAGGUUUCCAUGCCACUGAGGUCGACUGAGCUCUGAAGCUAGUCAUCAUGUAUGCAUGGGCGUCUGAAGAAGAGAAGAAGGCACGUACCGUCGGAAGUGGAGGCUGCGGGCACAGGCUUCUCUUGUACGGGUGUCUCAUGGGGUCCGCCGGGUCCCAGAGCACCGGCGGGAAGCCGCAGUGCACGCUGCCGGCCGCUGCCGGCCUCGGCAGGGCGCUCAGCGAGAGCGGCGGCGGAGGAGGAGGGUGCAUCGAGAGGAGGUGGCCGAGGCUGCCUCCGCCUCCGCCGAGGGCAUGCGGGUGCGGCGCGUGCGCCGCCCCCGGCACGGCGGCUCCCUCCAUCUUCUUCUGCUCCUCGAUCCGGAGCUUCUCGAGCUGCGCCACGCCGAGGCCGCGCUGCGGGAUCUUCUUGGGCUUGUUCUUCUUCGACGCCCGUGCCACGCCGGUGGCCGCGCCGGCGCCGCCGCCGCCGCCGUUGCCGUACCUCGGCAGCUGCUGGUGGUGGUGGCCGCUCUGCUCAUGCACCAUCUCUUUGCAUCUAACCAAUCGAAUUGAGACGAGAGUUCUGCCGGGGGUUCUUUCUUCUUCUCCCGUCACAGAAGGAGAAACGGAUUCAACAAGUAAAUGCGGGCUGAUAUGCCUGGAGUUCCCAGCUUCAUGAACUCAAGACAGUGAAGACUGAAGAGUGACCGCACAGAACAAAUCAAUGAAGAACAGGCAGAAUUCAGAACCGCAUAAGCUAGAGAGAGGCCGCAAGAUCAAUUUUGUGGUCGAUGUGGACAGAUACCUCUACGAGUCCAAGAAGGAGAAAUGCAUCAAGGGAGAGAUGAGAAGGAACAAGAACAGAAACAGACUAUUCCAGAGCCACCGCUCAAAGACAACAAACCCCGAGAGCAGUGAAGAGCAAUUCAACCACCGAUUUCGCAACCGGCCGGGGAUCGACUCCCUGCCAGGAUCUCGAGAGAGGAGGAGGAGGAAUCAACGCAACACGGGGUCGCAGCAGGGUUCUUGCAAGCUACCAAAUCGAGGACACAUGUGGCUGAGAGGGGAGCGCCAUGAGCAGGGGCGUAUUUAUAGGUGGGAGCCGAGAGGAGCAGCGUGUCCGCGAGUGGCGUGGUGUGAGCCGGCCGGGCGGUGGCCGGGAGUCUCGGGAGCGGGGAGAUCUAGAGCGAGAACACAGGGGGUGGCGCAGGGCAGUGGAUCGAAUCUUGUUCCUCUCCGUUCGCCCCGGCCAGCUAACCCGCCGCCCUAAUCCUCGCUCCACUUUGCUCCCGGUUCUCUCGAAUCACACCCGCUGUCUCCUCCGAGGUUGCAGGGGGAGGAGUAGCCGCCCACGAUAGCAGGAGCAAAGGCCCUCUUGAACGGCUGCAUGAACUGAACUUCUCGUUGGAAAUUGCCAGUCUGCAUGAUGGACAUGCACCACCGAUCAGUAAACACCAUGGAUAGUUCUCUAGCCAAGUCAACCUAUUAUAAUGUUUUUCUUGCAUUCCUUAUUAUAUAUACAUUAAAAAAAUCACUGGAUGUUUUGAGCUUAUUGUUGAAACUGUAUUAUCAUUUCGUUGAACUUUUAAACUGUUGUGAAAUAAUUUUACAAGAGCCUCCUUUUAGGCCAGCAUAAAUGUGAAGCUUGCCAAGGGAUGGUCGGCCAUGACCCAUGAUAUAUCCUACAAGCAUAGUUGUCCUGAAAGGCUGAAACUAGAAAACAACAUGUUAGCUCAGCGCAAAGAACUGCCUCGAAAGUGUAUCGCUUGGAAUCCUAUCCAACGAACAAAAGCCAGUUUGCAUCAGCAAAGAAAACCUGCCUCCACAUGUAAACUCACCAGAGGAUCAGAAGAGAAUAACAUUUGUGUUCAGUGUUCACAGAUGAAUGAACAAAGCAAAGGAAAGGAGCACCUAAUCUGGUCCCCUGGCCUGCCAAGGUUUCUAUACAGAGGGCACAAUAAUGGAGCCCCAGUGUUCAGUUUCCACAUCUGGGGAGUGAGGCUGGGGCCGACCAAAACAAUCUCAGCGAGCCAGGACAAAGCGCACGAGCUUUCUUCACAGUAGGUUCUCCCCUCGACGACCCCUCGGCGAUCUCCGAUGAUUUGGACGCGCUCCCAACACGAUCUCGUCCUGAUCUCCCCUGGGUUUUCACCCGCCUCGUUUCGGGCAUCUCGCUCGGAUUGGCAACGCGCGCAGCUCCUUUCUGCCCCCUCUUUUAGGCCCCUCUCUCUCCCUCCUGCAACCACUUGCAGCGAUCGGUUCGGAGGAUCCUUGAAUCCCAUUCACUGCACGAGGUCCAUGUGAGCGACCUACCUCGAUUCGUCAAGGGGGUUUGGCUGGGCCAGGAGACGAUGGCUGCAGCUGCAGGGAUGGCAGAUCAGAUCAUGAGAACCUGGGGCGACGGGAUGCUUGUUCCAGCUGCUUGGCACGGGACAUGUAUGCCUCUGUUCAUGCAUCUUUGCCUCAGCUCGUUCGGUUGCGCGUGUUCUCUGAAUCUAGUGAUCGAGCUAGUGGUGAUGCAAAUGAGACAGUGACAGUGGCCCCAUCAGUGCUCAAACCCUAGCUCCUAGGAUCGGAGAGAUGUUAACGUGUUCCAGACUUCCAGGUUGCAAGCAGGAAGUUUGGCCAUUCUUUUGUAGAAUUGUUCCAGUUCAGCGCGGGCGUAGCUUCGCCUCAGAUGCAAUGCAUUUGGGAGGCUAGCUUGUGCGCUACCUGCGGAGUCCUGGACAGAGUUAUUUCUGGCACAAUCGUGGCUAGUGGCUUAAGCAAUGGUGUGAUGUAUCCAUAUAUGGCAUGUGGUCCAAGUCCUUGAACCCUAUCUUGUAUCAUGAUGAUGAGACACUCAUAUUUGGCUGAUAUAUUUGUUUUUUUUAUAAUUAAGACAUGAAAAUUUUUGCGCAUCAAAUUUUUUUAUGUACAGAAAAGAAGGGCCGCAAAUGACCAAAGAACAAGAGCGAUAGGCCGAGCGCAAUAGGUGGAUAUUGGAGUUGUGAUUUGCAAAAGAAAGGACAACUAAUUAACGACGAUCUAAUUGUCCACCUGGUGCUUAUAUUUGGUCCAUAUAAGUUGCCACGAUGGCACAAAAGGUUGUUCCUUUUUCUCACGAUACUUGUGUGUUUGUCUACAAAAGUUGUUAGCAUGAUGUCCAUUUGUGCCAGCCAUCCGAUUGCAACUGGACAGCUCACGUUCCUAAGUAUAGGUUGUUGAAGUUGUGUCAUAAUCCAUCUGCUGGUUGAUGUUAAUCUUGAACAGAACAGCAGUGGAGAAUCUGAAUAGCUCAACUACUACAUUGCGGUCUAUAUAAUAAGCCCAUGCUAAGUUCAGCUAAAGAAGCAGGAGUCCAGCUCACAGUAAAGUAGAUAGCUAGGGUUUCUCACGGGGCCGGCGCACAUCGGUUAAGAUCUUGCCGGGAUUUCAGCAUAAACAUGCCGUUUCCAGACGCCGUAUGUCGUUAUCCAAACAUGGCAUGUCAGUUACCGAUCUUGAUGAGCACAUCGUCCUACGUACGGUCUGAAUAGUCAGCACUCUGCUAAGAGCUUCCAAAGCCAUGUGCCAUGGCAAACAAGCUAGAUAAACCCAUUCUGCAAUGCCAAUGCAAGGCCCAUGGAGAUAGAGCCAUGCACAUAACGCAAUCCCUAGCUUAUUAAUUUAUUAUUACUUUAAGAUGAGUUCCAGUAGGAUGCAAGCAAGAACGAUCGGAUCCGAUCGAGGCCGCGAGGUAUAGUAGAUAGCUUAGGAAAGGGGUAGCUCCAUCUUUUGGAGAUGGCAGCUCAAUCUCCCGUGUCACCGUAUAUCUAACAACGAACCAUAUAUUUCUCGCGUCCACCUCAGGGCCGCCCGUAAGAGGGAAAGAUCACGGAGCUUCUUCCCAGCUAGCUGCUAGCUAUAGACCAUCCUCGAUCGAUCGAUCCCCAGUGCUAGCUCAAACCAACCCCCUGUCCAUCGGACGGCGAGGAUCACGCGCGCACUGCGCACGGAUGCUCCGGAGUACACGUCCGGCGGCCGGUCCCCGUCCUUCUCCGGCGGGCGGUGGGGCGAUUUAGCCGGUGGAUAGAGAGGAAGCGGCAGGACCACCCGGAAAGCUGAGCCGCGCAGUUGGAGCUUCGAGAAAGAUUCACCAAGAUCGGCUGACUCCGCCGCGGAUCCACAGCUAGCUCCCUCGCCCUCGCUAAUGCCUUGUCCUCUCUAUCGGUUGGGUUGUUGGCUCCCGACCCGGCAGAUCGCGCGCACAUGCUUCAUGCGUGCGUGCGUCCCCUAGCCCCUAGCGGGGUGUGGUGGCCGGCCGGCCAUGCGUGCCUGGCGACGUCUUUCGCCGCGCAUGUAGUGUGUCAUCUAGCAAGCCGAACCGGCCGGUGCUCCGGCCCGCCGAAUCCACCGGCUUUCGUUCGAUCGAGAGCCUGCUCGACUUGGUUGGAUCUCGCAUGAUCGCGUCGUUGGCACACGGAUACGCUUCAUGAUUUGGUACCAACAGGUCCAACACGCCUCUCCUUACGCUUUUUUGAAGUAGUCGGUGACCGUAAAGCUAGCAGUAGUGUCAAACUGAUCGGCCUUGCCGUGCAAGUAUCAGCAGCAGCAGCAGUAGUAGUUAGUACAGUGACUUUGUGUACAUUUUUUUCAAUGUGUUUUGAUUACUAACUGUUGGGUAAGUCUGGCAGAGGCGUUUCACUUUACCUGCAAAGCUCCCAGCUGAGGUAGAUGCCUUUGCGCGUAAGCUCUGCACCCAUAUUUUGUGGUCCUUUAUUUUGCCAUGGACGGCAACCUUGUAUUCUUGGGUUGGAACGGUGGGAGGCUUGCGCACUUGCUGUCACUGUAUGGCCGAGCAUAGCAAGUGAAAGGGACGUGAUGAUGAAUAGUCAGUCCUUGCCUGCUCUCCAGCUAGCUGUGUUGGAUUUGGAUCCCCACCAACUUGUUUGGGUUCCGACUGCAACAAAAUUCAGAGCCCAGCAAGGACUCGGGACUAGCUUUCAGGCCCAGCCCUUUUUGGUCACGCCAGUCGUCGAUGAUGACUCGAAUUCCGAAUCCAGCCCGCAUGCCAAUCACCGCGACCCUAUAGAAGAACCGCACGAGAGGCCCAAAUCUACUGCGUCUCCCUCCCCUCGCCGCCGAUCAGACUGCUAUGCCGGAACCUUCCUCCGCCUCCCGACAAUGCCCGAGCUUCCCCGACUGGGUCCUCCUCGACCCGAAAGCGCACGUCGUCCCCCUCAAAAAUGCGACCACCGCUGCAACCAUGACGAGCACCCUCAUCCCCAUCGAGGUAUCCUUCGACGUCGUCGACCCGCCCGGCCUCACGCGCUGCGUCGUCAGCUGCUCGGAGGUCGGAGCUGAAGGAGGACGCCGUGAACGCGCCGCCCCUGGUUAUCGCCGCGGAUGGCGCCUUCCUCCUACUAAUCGUGGGCUUCCCCCACCGCGAUGUCUGAGAGACGCACACCGACGUCUUCCUCUACAAGGCCGGCCCCGGGGCGCCGUCGCUCCACCUCCUCCCGCACCCUUGCCCGCCGGCUAACCUCUACUACAAGCGCCCCGGCGUCUUGUCCUGCGGCGGUUAGAUAGCCUUGGCCGGAUGAUGGGCUAUGAUCUCCAUGUCUUCUCGACCGAGACCAGCUCGUGGACAACCAGGGCUGCCCGGGUGGCUUCUCAUCUGCUGCAAGGGUAUCCCAGCCCGUUGCUUCGGCAUGAACCCGCCAAUGAUCUCCAGGUCUUCUCGACCAAGACCAGGUUGUGGACAGCCAGGGACAACAAUCCCACCACGGAGUACCGCCGUUGGACGGCCACCGUGUCCAAGAGGAGGUUGUUCAGUUCCGCCGAUGAAUGGAGACGUUCACCGUGGAAUCCAGCAGCCUCUCACCGGCGGCAGACUCGUGUCUCCCUGCCCUGUUUCCUGAUAUCUGGGACGGCGGCAAGGGAAAGCUAGCCUUGAACAAGGUGGUAAGCACGGACCCGGUACUGGAUGCGUACGUUGUGUACAUGAAGUCCAAGCGUAACCCCUGCGAUCCAAACGGCUGGGUUCUUGCUAUCGAUAGCAGAGAUAAGAAACUUGUAAGGGUUGUGCCAUUUUCUGCCAGAAGGUUUUACUUCACUACUACAUGCAAUGUGACUUCUCCAAGUACAUCGGCAAAGACUCCAUGUAAUUUUACUGCUGCAGUUUCCCCUACUAUUAUGGGAUGAGUUGCAGGGAAACCCAAACUAGCUAUUGGAUGGCACGUUUCUGCAUAUAACAUGACUACCGCAUUACUUGUUGCUGCCUGUAAAUUUACAACUCUUACUUCUGUAUUGCGAGCUUGUUGUCGUCUAACUAAAAUGCUGCGCGUCAAUUUUCUUAAUUAGAGAACUCCGUGGCCAAAGCGUCGGAGAAAUGCACCAACAUGCAAUUCGUAUCUAGCUGCCAUUGCUUCAGAUUUGCAGUCCAAAUAUUCUGCAACUUUUGAACAUUACACCUUAUUGCUUGUUGCUGUUUUUGAUUAUCUUCUUGCCGGGGAAAAGAUUGUGUUGUUACUUGUUAGAGACCCACCUUCUGGCAGUGUUAAACAGAUCACCUCACAGUGCCGAACUACAUGUGCUAUACAUUUCUUUUUCCAACCUGUUUAACGCUUCAGUUUACUUGUGACCCCGUGGACAUGUGCCAUUGAGGUAAGAUUCCUGUGCGCGUAAUAAGCUCUACGCCCAUAUUUUGUGGUCCUUUUUUGCCCUGGGUCGGCAAGCUUGUGUUAUUUUGUGGUCCUUUCUUGCACAAUUGCAGUUACUGUAUAGCCGAGCAUAGCAAGCGAAAUGGGAUGACAAUGGUCCUGCUCCAGUUGUUGGAUUGGAUGCUCAGUUGCUCACCAAGUCGUUUGGUUCCUCCACGAGUUUGCGUGUUUCCUCACUACAAGCAAAUAACAAAGUCAGAGCUAGCCCAGCAAGGGUACUGCGACAUUGAUUGGAAGUAGCUUUCAGGCCCAUCCCGUUUUAGUCACGGAAUGCCUGCAGCCUACUGUUUUUGAUCCGGCCCAAAGCGAAUCACCCGUAGAGAGAGCACGGAGCCACGGACGGGCAUCGGCCUUUCGGCCUCCGAGGGGAAAUGAGCCGAAGCAAGUAGUCACUGGCUCACUGCCGCCGAUUCGAAGUCCGUCCCAUGGCGCGCAGCACCAGGUGCCAGAAUCCACGGAGCAUAGCGCAGCGGUGACACGUGCACGAUCAGAACGAAGCAUCGGUGAAGGGUAAAGGUGUCGAACCGAACCAUGUGUGGCGUGCGGUUGCUGCGUCCGUGCAUAGAUUCGUGGCGUGGUCCGGUGAUCCCCGUCCAGGCCACUUCGGUUCACGUGCUCCCGUCCGAGCCCCGGUGAUCGUCCUGGUAAAGGAAAACUGCGGCGAGAUGUCCUGCUCCUGCCGUUGCCGAGACGCCGAGUAACAGGUCGGGACCGAGCGUGAUAUUUCUCUGCUUUAUCUCUGUGCUCGGCCGGCUUCGUGGAGCGGCAACACAUUGAUCAGCUACUACCUACGCCUACGUACCCUAUCAUAUCCGUUCCUCUCUUCUCAUCCUCAUCCGAUCGAUCAUGUGACCAUGUCCAUGGAUCGUUUCCCGUUCCAUCCAAAACGACGGAUCGUUGAGCGGUUGUGACCGACCUGCUGACAGCUGAAAUCUUUGAUUCCAGCCAGGGUUUACUCUGUGCAAAUCAUUCUGACUGACGUUCUCAUUCUGCCUUAUGCAGCCGGCUUUUUUAGAGUCCCAGUGUACAAAUACAGCUACAUCUUACCUCUGCAAAUGAUGGGUAUGUCUGGCAUGUGCAGAUAUCCAUGUUGGUGGAUAUCGUGAUGGCCAGUUUGCAGAUGGAAGCGUGAUCGAGGAUAUGUGUCCCAUUUCUUCGGGGAAGAAGCAACACAGGAUCAAUCGGCCGGAGACCCGGCCGGUCGCUUAUCCACAUUGGAAAAGGAUCGGAGGAGUGCGCAAGCUACAGAGCACAACCAACGACGCGCGCGGCGAGCGAAUAGGGGACCGGCGUGUCGAAUCCCCCGCUGCAGCAAGCGAUGCAAAGGCAAACGGGAAAAAAAAAA